rnacentral:rRNA from 1 species
AUUGAACGCUGGCGGCAGGCCUAACACAUGCAAGUCGAACGGUAACAGGAAACAGCUUGCUGUUUCGCUGACGAGUGGCGGACGGGUGAGUAAUGUCUGGGAAACUGCCUGAUGGAGGGGGAUAACUACUGGAAACGGUAGCUAAUACCGCAUAACGUCGCAAGACCAAAGAGGGGGACCUACGGGCCUCUUGCCAACGGAUGAGCCCAGAUGGGAUUAGCUAGUAGGUGGGGUAACGGCUCACCUAGGCGACGAUCCCUAGCUGGUCUGAGAGGAUGACCAGCCACACUGGAACUGAGACACGGUCCAGACUCCUACGGGAGGCAGCAGUGGGGAAUAUUGCACAAUGGACGCAAGCCUGAUGCAGCCAUGCCGCGUGUAUGAAGAAGGCCUUCGGGUUGUAAAGUACUUUCAGCGGGGAGGAAGGGAGUAAAGUUAAUACCUUUGCUCAUUGACGUUACCCGCAGAAGAAGCACCGGCUAACUUCGUGCCAGCCGCCGCGGUAA